GGCCUAACACAUGCAAGUCGAGCGGAAACGACACUAACAAUCCUUCGGGUGCGUUAAUGGGCGUCGAGCGGCGGACGGGUGAGUAAUGCCUAGGAAAUUGCCUUGAUGUGGGGGAUAACCAUUGGAAACGAUGGCUAAUACCGCAUGAUGCCUACGGGCCAAAGAGGGGGACCUUCGGGCCUCUCGCGUCAAGAUAUGCCUAGGUGGGAUUAGCUAGUUGGUGAGGUAAUGGCUCACCAAGGCGACGAUCCCUAGCUGGUCUGAGAGGAUGAUCAGCCACACUGGAACUGAGACACGGUCCAGACUCCUACGGGAGGCAGCAGUGGGGAAUAUUGCACAAUGGGCGAAAGCCUGAUGCAGCCAUGCCGCGUGUAUGAAGAAGGCCUUCGGGUUGUAAAGUACUUUCAGUUGUGAGGAAGGGUGUGUAGUUAAUAGCUGCGCAUCUUGACGUUAGCAACAGAAGAAGCACCGGCUAACUCCGUGCCAGCAGCCGCGGUAAUACGGAGGGUGCGAGCGUUAAUCGGAAUUACUGGGCGUAAAGCGCAUGCAGGUGGUUCAUUAAGUCAGAUGUGAAAGCCCGGGGCUCAACCUCGGAACUGCAUUUGAAACUGGUGAACUAGAGUACUGUAGAGGGGGGUAGAAUUUCAGGUGUAGCGGUGAAAUGCGUAGAGAUCUGAAGGAAUACCAGUGGCGAAGGCGGCCCCCUGGACAGAUACUGACACUCAGAUGCGAAAGCGUGGGGAGCAAACAGGAUUA
rnacentral:rRNA from 1 species